GAGAGGGGGGGAGAGGGAGAGAGGGGGAGAGAGAGAGAGAGAGAGAGAGAGAGAGAGAGAGAGAGAGAGAGAGAGAGAGAGAGAGAGAGAAAGAGAGAGGUAGACCGAGCGAGAGAGAGAGAGAGAGAGAGAGAGAGAGAGAGAGAGAGAGGUAGACAGAGUGAGAGAGGUAGACAGAGUGUGUGAGAGAGAGAGAGAGAGGUAGACAGAGUGAGAGAGGUAGACAGAGUAAGAGUGAGAGAUAUAUUCACUUUAUAUAUUAUCUACCUCACUUGCUUUGGCAAUGUUAACACAUGUUUCCCAUGCCAAUAAAGCCCUUGAAUUGAAUUGAAAUUGAAUUGAGAGGUAGACAGAGUGAGAGAGAUGGACAGAGUGAGAGAGGUAGAGUGAAAAAGGUAGACAGAGUGAGAGAGGUAGACAGAGUGAGAGAGGGAGAGAGAGUAAGAGCGAGAGAGACAGAGUGAGAGAGGGAGAGAGAGUAAGAGCGAGAGAGGUAGAGUGAGAGAGGUAGACAGAGUGAGAGAGGUAGACAGAGUGAGAGAGGUAGACAGAGUGAGAGAGGUAGACAGAGUGUGAGAGGGAGAGAGAGACUAAAACUGCAUAUAGACAUAAUAUUCCC
ensembl:lncRNA